rnacentral:rRNA from 2 species
UUUGGUCGGGGAACCACUGGAACGGUGGCUAAUACCGGAUGUGCCGAAAGGUGAAAGAUUUAUUGCCUAGAGAUGAGCUCGCGUCUGAUUAGCUAGUAGGUGUGGUAAGAGCGCACCUAGGCAACGAUCAGUAGCUGGUCUGAGAGGAUGAUCAGCCACACUGGGACUGAGACACGGCCCAGACUCCUACGGGAGGCAGCAGUGGGGAAUUUUCCGCAAUGGGCGAAAGCCUGACGGAGCAAUACCGCGUGAGGGAGGAAGGCUCUUGGGUUGUAAACCUCUUUUCUCAAGGAAGAAAAAAAUGACGGUACUUGAGGAAUAAGCAUCGGCUAACUCCGUGCCAGCAGCCGCGGUAAUACGGAGGAUGCAAGCGUUAUCCGGAAUGAUUGGGCGUAAAGCGUCCGCAGGUGGCUAUGUAAGUCUGCUGUUAAAGAGUGAGGCUCAACCUCAUAAGAGCAGUGGAAACUACAUAGCUAGAGUGCGUUCGGGGCAGAGGGAAUUCCUGGUGUAGCGGUGAAAUGCGUAGAGAUCAGGAAGAACACCGGUGGCGAAAGCGCUCUGCUAGGCCGCAACUGACACUGAGGGACGAAAGCUAGGGGAGCGAAUGGGAUUAGAUACCCCAAGUAGUCACCCGUUUCUGNCCCCCUCCCGGG